AUUAGUGUCUAUAAUUGUGAAAUAGCCAGCGAAUACAAACUUUAAGUUUUGUUGUUUGCAUUUUUUUCUGGCUACCUCGCACCAUUUCAGCCUUGGAUUAGCAUAAUCAACAUUUCUAAGCAGAAAUAUUAGGCAUAAAUUGAGAGUAAAGAAUUGUUUAUGUUUAAAAUAAACAGCUAGCGCAAUGCAGAUAAAAACUAAACAGAAAAAUAGUUUAAGAAAUUUUAAUUAGGAAUAACAAACUUAAAAAUGCAAUUAUUGACUAUGUAAAACAAAACAAUACAAUUAUAAGCAGUAUAUAACGACUAAAAUACUCGAACAAAUCAAUAUAUAUAUAUAUAUAUAUGUUUAUAUCAACAAUCAUAAGUUUAACGAAAGUAACAAACAAGGAAUAAGAAAAAUGUGAACAUACACAGUGAUUACAAAAGAAACUUAUGCAGGUUUGUAAAUAAAAAUGGAAAAAAAGCAUGUUUGGACUUACCAUCGCUCAAUACUACUUCGGCUUGGCUUGGAAUUGGCGCUUGUUGGGUUUCUAUUCUCAUCACUUGAUGUUCUAGAAAUAAGUAAUAAAAUUUGUUUUCUUAUUUGCUUAAACUUGUAAAUAGUCAGUGCAUGAAUGCAAUUGCAAGAGGUUAGGCCAGUGCAGAAUAAAAAAAUAUAAAUAAAAUAUGUUUUGGCUUAAAGUACACUAUAGUCCAAUAAAUAUUAUACAACUGGUUGAAGAGCUACAACUAAUCUUUUCCCCGCGCAAUCAGCUAUAGCGUGGAUGCGUUUGGGCCAGCCAUGUGAAGUAUGAUUCCAUAACUCGUUUUCAUUUUGCCAUAUGAAGCACGGAUUCCUAGAAUCGUCGUCGCUGUACAGAAAAGGGGCUAUCCGACAGAAAGAGCUGACCAUUCUGUGAACCUGCCUGUUGUUCUUUUGGCACUGAAACACCAUAAAGCUGUUGGUGAAUACUGAAGAAAUGCUUCAAAUCGAAUACUUAGACCCGAUUGUCAUUGGAGCGGUCCGCAAAUUCUUCAUUUGUGUAGUAAAAGUAUUGUUUAAUAAUAUAUAAGUAAUACAUUUUUCAUUAUCGCAUCGCUAUACGCAUGUUAGUAAUUAAAAACGUUGUACAACUAACAUAACAAUGGCCACUAUUUUCUCUACAUUUUUAGCAUUCCCAACAUUUUCUCAAAUGCACUUCUUAUCUCACCUGAAACAUCUUCUGGUUCUGAUUGACUAACUGCGGCAGUUGCGAUUGUUAUUUGUUUCGUCUGUGGUGGUGCUGAGAUUGGCAUCGAACUCAGUGGCUCCGAUUCGGAGAAAUCAGUAUCAGUAUCUAUGCAGGGAGGAAACAAUGUAUAUUUAUAGUGCAUGCAAAUCCAAACCUAACAUCUCAGAGAUGCACUUACAUUCACCAUGAAUGCUCUUCUUCUUACGCUCUACCGUGCGUUUGUAUUCGUUCAAUUCAUCAUCGGUGACAUUAUCGAAUGGAUUUUUAGCAUAUGGUGCCUUAUAAACAGCUGCAUUAUGUUGAUAGCCACGUUGUAUGAUACCCUUAGAGGCUGCGCCCAUUAACACAACAUGAUCACCAGCCGAUGAAACGGUCGCAUCCUUAAUACGAUUGGCCUCAUCCCAUGUAACACCCUCGAGGAUGUGUGAUUGCGGACCGGCGGAUAUUUUAUCAGCCCGGCGAUUGUCUUUGAUCUAGAGUAGAAAACAAGUUUUAAUUGUAUAAUUUCUUGUAGUUACCACUUAUAAUUGUAAUGUCUUACUUGUUGUUGUAAGCGCCUGAACUCUUUUGGAUUUGUUCCCGCUGGCACAAAUUGCAAGGGAUCUUCGAUGCGUACUGGUGUCGAGUGUGUUGGUGACCCUUCGGCUACCCACUAACAACGGCAACAUUGUGUGGUGACAAACAUAACGCAGAACAUGCGAUGGUAGGAAUUGGAGGCAUUUUGGAAUUGGUUGGAGUAGAAGUGGUGGUCGAGAAUUUUUCGUAAUAUGCACAAAAAGCGUACAGGGAAAUGACGAAUUUAGGAUUUGAGGCAGCGCAAUGUGGCGUACAUUUGCAGUUUGAAAAAGGAUAUGCAAUGAAAGUAGAAA